GCAUUACUUUCAAAGUGGGCCUUUUAUAACUAUGGGAGAUUCAUGAUUCACAGACAGAUUUCUGCUUAAAGAAGGAAUAAUAAUAAUUCAUUAUUUUCUGUCAGGAUGACAGAAGGAGAAUUUUCAGUUUUCAAGCCACCUGUAUAGUAGGCAAAGUUCCUGUGCUCCAUUUUUGGCAGAGUAGAAGAAUAGUCCAGCUCUAAUGGGUCACAGAGGACCCAGUAUCCACUUCAGAGAAUGAAAACUGUGAGUAGGGUUAUUUCACCUCUUCCAGGGAGCUAGCUGUAGUCCAGGAUGGUGUAGUCCAGAGCUGUGUAAAUGAGAUCAAUCUGAGUUUGGCAAGAAAAAUAAAUAAUCCCUGGGAUUUUGUGAGAUUUUCUAGCAAGUCUUCUGCUUUAAUUUGUUUUCUCCAAAUUACUCAGUGCAAAAACAUGCUGAAAAAAACAACAACAGACAGUGCUAGGAGGAGCAUCAUAUGGAGACAUUUUAAUUGCUCGGGAUUUGGAAGCUUUCACAUGACUUACCUCAAACUCCAGGAGGCUAAAAGUAUGAUAUUUUAUAGAAUAGAGUCCUGCCUAGCAUGAUGAUGGCCAAGGUGAUGGCCAAGUAUGUGAGAGCUGGAGAUGUGGAGAAUGUCACAGUGACUGGGAGUAAGGGUCUGGCUGCAACUCAUUGCCAAGGUUACAUUUUUGAUCCAGCAGUGAUGGAACUUCAAGCCGUCUGUCUGUUUAAAAAUAAAGUAUUUGCAACAGGGAAGUUCCCUCCAUUGUCUUCUGGAGAUUAAAUCGGAUGGCUCUAUGAAAAUAUUUCCACUUCUCAAAAAUACCAUUUUGAGAUUGUUUUUAUGUACUUUGUAUGAUUUAAAUUAGCAUUAAUUAGAUAGCACAUAGAUUUGAAGUGAAAAAACUCAGUAAUGAUAAAACUUCAUUUCUAUAGUGUCUUCAAGCAUUAGAUAUAGUGACCAAAAUUUUAAAGGCAAGUGAAUAGACUUAAGCUCCCAGAAAUAUACUGGGACUUGAAAAUAAGAAGUUGCCUGAUUUUGGUGGUGGAGAAUGCACCCAGUUUCUGUUGAAUACACAGAAAGUAGGGCUGAGUAUUGUCUUUGUUUAAAGGGGUAUACAAGAUAUAAUUUCUGGUCAUCUAAUCAGGCAGACCUUAUGGCUGCAGACUUCACAGCUCCUAAUAGUUCGCAGUAGGAGGAAGGGCAGUGAAUGGAAAACAAAUGAAGAUGCAGAAGAAAGGAGAGACAGAGGUGAAGGGGUUGGACAAGAGUGAAAAGCAUUAAAAAUAGGGAAAAUUGCAUAUUGGAGACUGUGAACUGGAAAGGGAAAGGAAAAAGAGGAGAGUACGAGCACAGAUGGUGAACCGAAAAAACUGAAGAAAAAUGGAUGGGCUGCAGCAAAGACAAGAAAUAAGUGAUGAAAAUCCACACAGAGACUCUUGCCAGUCAUGGACACAAAGUGCUGACCCAAGGGGAAAUGAUUCAGAAUUUUACUGGGAAACUGUCAAAAAUGUGGGCCUCUGCACGGGAUUUUGAGGAAAGGACCUUGCUGGGUUUCAUGAAAAGUGGGUCACCAUGGGUUUUAAAUGUGGAGGACUAUAUAUGAAAAGGCAUUUUUGAUCCCUGUCAGAAGACAAAAAUUGGAAGAGGACUUGAAAUGUACCAUUCUGUAUAGGGUGUCAGAUAGAAGACAGGCAGGGAACAAUUAAGACUGCACAAGGCUCUCCAUCAGCAGCGUACAAUGGGAAUAGGAUUUUCUUUUUCCCCGGA